rnacentral:rRNA from 1 species
GCAUAACGCGAAGAACCUUACCUGGCCUUGACAUUGAUAGAAUCUGCUAGAGAUAUCGGAGUGCCCUUCGGGGAGCUUGAAAACAGGUGCUGCACGGCUGUCGUCAGCUCGUGUCGUGAGAUGUUGGGUUAAGUCCCGCAACGAGCGCAACCCUCGUCACUAGUUACUAACGGUUCGGCCGAGGACUCUAGUGAGACUGCCUUCGUAAGGAGGAGGAAGGUGAGGACGACGUCAAGUCAUCAUGGCCCUUACGGCCAGGGCGACACACGUGCUACAAUGGGAUGUACAAUGAGACGCAAUACCGCGAGGUGGAGCAAAUCUAUAAAACAUCUCUCAGUUCGGAUUGUAGUCUGCAACUCGACUACAUGAAGCUGGAAUCACUAGUAAUCGUAGAUCAGCCAUGCUACGGUGAAUACGUUCCCGGGUCUUGUACACACCG